rfam:Pteropus alecto contig95430, whole genome shotgun sequence.
GUCUACAGCCAUGCUACCCUGAACAAACCGGAUCCCGUCUGAUCUUGGAAGCUAAGCAGGGUCGGGCCUGGUUAGUAUUUGGAUGGGAGACCACCUAGGAAGACUAGGUACUGUAGGUG